rnacentral:rRNA from 1 species
CCUACGGGAGGCAGCAGUGGGGAAUAUUGCACAAUGGGGGGAACCCUGAUGCAGCCAUGCCGCGUGUGUGAAGAAGGCCUUCGGGUUGUAAAGCACUUUCAGCGAGGAGGAAGUUCUGUUGGUUAAUACCUAGCAGGAUUGACGUUACUCGCAGAAGAAGCACCGGCUAACUCCGUGCCAGCAGCCGCGGUAAUACGGAGGGUGCGAGCGUUAAUCGGAAUUACUGGGCGUAAAGGGUGCGUAGGCGGUUAAUUAAGUCAGAUGUGAAAUCCCCGGGCUCAACCUGGGAACUGCAUUUG